GGAUUAGAUACCCUGGUAGUCCACGCCGUAAACGAUGUCUACUAGUUGUCGGUUGUCUUGUACGACGGGUAACGCAGCUAACGCGAUAAGUAGACCGCCUGGGGAGUACGGCCGCAAGGUUAAAACUCAAAUGAAUUGACGGGGGCCCGCACAAGCGGUGGAGCAUGUGGUUUAAUUCGAAGCAACGCGAAGAACCUUACCAGGUCUUGACAUCCUCGGAACUUUCUAGAGAUAGAUUGGUGCCUUCGGGAACCGAGUGACAGGUGCUGCAUGGCUGUCGUCAGCUCGUGCCG
rnacentral:rRNA from 1 species